rnacentral:rRNA from 1 species
AUGAAGACAAUGUUCAUCCUCGCUCUCCUCGCCCUUGCAGCAUCCACCGCCACUGCCCAAUUGGAAACCAUCUGUAGCCAGGGCUUCGGACAAUGCCAACACCACCAACAAGUGGGGCAACAACAGUUGCUGGAUCAGAUGAAGCCAUGUGUGGCUUUCGUACAACAUCAAUGUAGCCCAGUGGGAACACCAUUCUCCCAAACACGGGGAGAGCAACAUAGCAGUUGCCAAACCGUGCAACACCAAUGCUGUCGGCAGCUGGUGCAGAUCCCAGAACAGGCCCGGUGCAAGGCCAUCCAGAGCGUGGAAGAGGCUAUCAGUCAACAACAGCCCCAACAAGAAUGGAAUGAGCCCCAACAGGAAGCACAACUUAAGAGCAUGAGGAUGUUGCUUCAGACCCUGCCGUUUAUGUGCAACAUCUACGUCCCGGUACAAUGCCAGCAACAGCAUCAACUUGGGCGACAACAACAACAACAGUUGCAGGAGCAGUUAAAACCGUGUGCGGCAUUCCUACAACAUCAAUGUAGGCCAAUGACAGUGCCAUUCCCGCAUACACCGGUGCAUAAGCCCACCAGCUGCCAGAGCGUGCAGGCCCAAUGCUGCCGGCAGCUAGCACAGAUCCCAGAGAAAUUCCGCUGCCAAGCCAUCCGUAAUGUGGUAGAGUCUAUCAGGCAACAACAACAUCACCAACCACAACAAGAAGUACAACUUGAGGGCCUGAGGAUGUCACUUCACACCCUACCGUCGAUGUGCAAAAUCUACAUCCCUGUACAAUGCCCAGCCACCACCACCACCCCCUAUAGCAUUACCAUGACAGCUAGCUAUACCGAUGGUACCUGCUAG